rnacentral:misc_RNA from 1 species
AAGACUAUAGACCUGCGGAGUACCUGCGGAAGGAUCAUUACCGAGUGCGGGUUCUAACGAGCCCAACCUCCCACCCGUGUUUACCGUUACCGCGUUGCCUCGGCGGGCCCACUGGGGCCUGGCCCCGGUCGCCGGGGGGCAGAUGCCCCCGGGCCAGUGCCCGUCGAAGCGCCUGGAACCCUGUCUGAAUAGUGAGUCUGAGUAAUGAUUGAAUCAUUAAAACUUUCAACAACGGAUCUC